GAACGACAACUUUCGGCGGUUCACCGACUUGAGGUACUUCAUGCGUCUCUCCAGCCCCACUCUGGUGACCUCGGUGUUUGUAGCACGGCUGCCGGACCGAAACCUUACCAAGAGUCCACUCAUCGAUGCCGUCCUCCUGAACUGCACAAUGAACUAUAAGCGCGCUAAUAUUAGGAUUCAGCCUAUGCAAUUUCUUCAGCAGUGGCAUAAACUGGAUAGUAGCAAUUAUGACUCAGUGGGUCAAUUCUUCUACUUUAAAAUGACGCUACCGCGGCACAGCAUGGAGGCAUCGUGUGUGCUGCGGCCACGCUUGAUCAACGGCACCUGGGGCCCGUCAAGCGCCACCGAGCACUUCUACUCGC